rnacentral:rRNA from 1 species
UACGUAGGGGGCAAGCGUUGUCCGGAUUUACUGGGCGUAAAGAGCGUGUAGGCGGCCAAGCAGGUCCGUUGUGAAACUGGAGGCUUAACCUUCAGACGUCGACGGAAACCGCGCGGCUAGAGUCCGGGAGAGGUGAGUGGAACUCCGAGUGUAGAGGUGAAAUUCGUAGAUAUUCGGAAGAACACCAGUGCGAAGGCGGCUCACUGCCGUACUGACGCGUGAGAUACGAAGCGUGGAGCAACAGG